ACGGAAGGCAGCAGUAGGGAAUUUUCGGCAAUGGGCGAAAGCCUGACCGAGCAAUGGUGCGUGAAAGAUGACGGCCUUAGGGUUGUAAAUUUCUUUUAUUAGGGAUGAACACAUUUGGUAGGUAAUGACCAGAUGCUGACAGUACCUUUUGAAUAAGCUCCGGCCAACUAUGUGCCAGCAGCCGCGGUAAUACAUAGGGAGCGAGCGUUAUCCGGAAUUAUUGGGCGUAAAGAGUGCGUAGGCGGUCUAUUAAGUCGGUUGUGAAAUGCUGAGGCUAAACCUCAGUCUGCAUCCGAAACUGGUAGACUAGAGUACGGUAGAGGUAAGUGGAAUUCCAUGUGUAGCGGUAAAAUGCGUAGAUAUAUGGAGGAACACCAGAGGCGAAGGCGGCUUACUGGGCCGGCACUGACGCUAAUGCACGAAAGCGUGGGUAGCAAACAGGAUUAGAUACCCUGGUA
rnacentral:rRNA from 1 species